rnacentral:rRNA from 1 species
AUUGAACGCUGGCGGCAGGCCUAACACAUGCAAGUCGAACGGAGUGGCGGACGGGUGAGUAAUGUCUGGGAACCUGCCUGAUGGAGGGGGAUAACUACUGGAAACGGUAGCUAAUCCCGCAUACUAUCAGAUGAGCCUAGGUCGGAUUAGCUAGUUGGUGGGGUAAAGGCUUACCAAGGCGACGAUCCGUAACUGGUCUGAGAGGAUGAUCAGUCACACUGGAACUGAGACACGGUCCAGACUCCGACGGGAGGCAGCAGUGGGGAAUAUUGGAAAAUGGGCGAAAGCCUGAUCCAGCCAUGCCGCGUGUGUGAAGAAGGUCUUCGGAUUGUAAAGCACUUUAAGUUAGGAGGCGUUACCAACAGAAGAAGCACCGGCUAACUUCGUGCCAGCCGCCGCGGUAAUUC